GAUGAACGCUGGCGGCGUGCCUAAUACAUGCAAGUCGAACGAACAGACGAGGAGCUUGUUCCUCUGACGUUUGCGGCGGGCGGGUGAGUAACACGUGGAUCCUCUACCUAUAAGACUGAGAUCACUUCGGAAAACCGGAGCUAAUACCGGAUAAUAUCUUGAACCGCAUGGUUCAAUAGUGAAAGACGGCUUUGCUGUCACUUAUCGCUGGAUCCGCGCCGCAUUAGCUCGUUGGUAAGGUAACGGCUUACCAAGGCAACGAUGCGUAUCCGACCUGAAAGGGUGAUCGGCAACACUAGAAAUGGAACACGGACAAGAAUACUACGGGAGGCAGCAGUAGGGAAUCUUCCGCAAUGGGCGAAAGCCUGACGGAGCAACGCCGCGUGAGUGAUGAAGGUCUUCGGAUCGUGAAACCCUGUUAUUAGGGAAGAACAAAUGUGUAAGUAACUAUGCAGGUCUUGACGGUACCUAAUCAGAAAGCAACGGCUAACUACGUG
rnacentral:rRNA from 1 species